CUGAAAAAGCUUCAAGAUCACUGAUAAUCUUUGGUGUUCACAUUGCCGCUGCUUUCUUCAAAUUCAACCAGAUAUUAAGAAUUAAACCUGCAGAAUGAACAAGCCACUUAAAAAAAAAAUCUUCAACCGAUCCCUGAACCAAGCAUAAGUAAAUUUGGAUGUGUACUUUGGGAUGAUUGUCCUGCAGGAGAGUCCAUUGAUCAUCAAGCUUCAGUCUCUGCACCAAAGGCAUAGCAAUCUUUGCCUAAAGGAUCUGAAACUUAGAGAGGAGAGGAGAGGAGGCAUCAUAUUCGAAAAAUGCCGGAAACCGGAGACACGGCUCUUUUCAAGUGUAAGUACCUCAGGGAAAAACGUUGUUCAUUGUGGUUAAAUUGCACUUGUUUAAAAUAAAGUAAACGGCUGACUUGUUAAAAGUUUAAACAUUUUAAAUCGGUGAGAUGACUUUGUGAAUCGGCUGUAAAAGGUCUUUUUUAAUCGUUACGGAGCAAGCUAACGAACAGAUCGAGCUAACGUCAAUGCUGUACAUCAGCUUGUUAACACUGCUUUUUUUAAUGGAGACGUUCAUUGUUUAGCAGUUUAAUGAAAUUAGAAAAUUCAACGGAAUUACGAUUUUUCCCCUCUUUUUCUAGUGUUUAUAUUUAAGUUAGUAUAUAUUUUGUUGGCUACAUAGCAAGCUACUGUUAACAAGUAUGCCUCAGUUUGUCAAUGUAGCAUUAAUAGAUUGAUCAUGAUUAAUGUUUACUGUUUUGACCUUACAGGGACUGAUGAACACACUCGGCUCCUUGCCCAGUGGAGAGUGGCUAAUGAAGCCCUCUUCACUGGAAAGUGUAAUGCUGCCAUCAAAUGUUUUGGAAGCAGAAGCUUGAGGGCAAAAUUUCUGCUGCUCAAGUUAAACGGAAAUGGGAAAACCUAAAACAAAAAUAUAAAGACCUUAAAUGUCCAGAGAGAGGAUGGUGAGGUUACAGCAGGAUCUUGGAAGUGGUAUUCUGUCUUGGAUGGAUCACACCACCCAACCUUAUUGCCUCAUCCGGACCAGAUGUUGCAGUAACCUCACCUCGGUGAGGUCAACAGUUGAAAGAGUAGGGAGGAAGAGGAAGGACAUAGAGGAGCUGAUCCACAAGAUGGAGGAGAGAGAAGCAGAAAAAGAAAUUGAAGCAGUAGAAAGGGAGGUGAGGAGAUGGAGAGAGAUCAUGGAAAGGGAAGAAAGAAGAGAAAUAGAGAGACGAGAACGAGAGUCCAGGGAAAGAGAAGAACGAAGAGGCCGAGAAAUGAGAGGGAGAGAUUUCUUCAGCUUUUAGAGCUCAUGGCAAAAAAAUAAUAUUAAUAUUAAACUACACUUUCUUUCCAUUUAUUUAUGUUGAAAUUGUCAUUGUUUAUGAAUGGGUCAUUGAAUCGCUUUCUCAAACGAUUCGUUCAAAAAUGCAGAUUCAUUCAGCAACGAAACACUAAGAUAAAUAGAGAAUAUCCGCUGGAUGCAAGCAGCAUACGCUCUUCUGUGUCAGCCGCACCACAAGGAUGUUUACGCUUUUUCGUAUUGUUCAUUGUGUUGUUGUUUUUUCCUUUGUUUAAUCGUGUAUUUAUUAUUGUAAGGUGCCCUAGAGCGCCCAUAAAUAAAAUUAAUAAUAAUGAUAAUUAUUAUUAUUAAUAAUAAUAAUAAUAAUAAUAAUUUUUAGGGCUGCCCUCGACUAAGGAUUUUUCUGGUCGACUAGUAGUCAUUCAUUUCAAACAUAAUGCUGGGUACACACUAAAAGAUUUUUUAAAAUCUUAUAAGAUCUUCAAAAUGUGAGAGACCACAAACAUGAGGGAAAAAUUCCUAGAUUUAACUGUUUUGCUCCUAUAGUCUGUGGUAUCCUCGGGGUUCCCCCUCACACAUCAGGAUUUUUGAUUGUAAAUAUUCAACAUGUUGAAUAUUUAUGAUUCGCGAUCGGGGUGCCUCCGACGUUCUUCCAAGCAGAUUCAGUCACUGAACACACCUCACACCACAGGAAAAUCUGAUAAGACAAUCUUUAGAACCACCAGGAUAAUCGGAACAUUACCCAGGAUUGUCGGAAGAGGAGAAAUCGGCCUAAAAUCAGCCCGAUUAUCUUGUGGUUUGUACCCAGCAUAAGUCGACUAAUCGCACGUUUAUUAAUAAACCAUUUAAAUCAUUAUAAUGAGCCUUUAAUUGCCUACAUAUCCUAAGAAGUGCUCAAGCACACGCAUAAAUCUUGCCACAGCGCACCGGCAGAAGUAAUGAUUGUGAAUGUGCCAGGGAAAAACAGUGAGGAGGCUGCAUUAACAUUUUAAUAAUUUGAUAAACCAGUGCUUUCUUUGUUUCCGGUUUAAGAGAUGAAGUCGGCGACAUUGACUCUCCACAGUAGUGGAUGCACCUGUAUGCAUGUCUCAUACGGAUUACAUAAUCUGAGAAUAUUUGUUUUCCAUUUGAAUUGGUUCAUUUGAAAGUAGACAUUUCACUCUCUAUAGAUAUAUUUUUAAUGUCUGUAAGGCAAAGAUAUACACAGAGUUUCACGCUCAAGUUCACAGAGACGAAGACAGCAGAAAGCGCAUUAUGUUUGCUUUCAUUAUUUUACAAAAGCACAUUUUGUUGUUAUUGUGAGAGCACACAAAUAAACGUAGUCUUUACAGAUUCUAAAAAUGUAUUACUCUUAUCUGUAUGACCAAAAAUGAGGGAGUAUUUUAAGAGGAAGUGCUCCGGUGCCUCCAUCUGUCCUGCAAGUGAGCGCUACUGUUCAGCUUCCACAAUACACACAGACACUUGAAUAGUGCACAUUUCUCUAGGUUAACAUGUAAAUUUGCUGCUACUUGCAUAUUACAGAUGAUAAGCCAUAUUUGACGUUGAUGAAUGAUAGGUGAACGUUUGGAUGUCCUGCUUGAUGUACUGUAUUACCAUAGACUAGCCAUUAACGAUCUGUCCGUCAUGGACUGCGUAACAUCGCCUGUGGAUUUUUUUUUUUCUACGACUAAGAAUAUUUUGGUUGACCAAACCUUUUCUGGUUGACUAACAGAUUAGUCAGCCAUUAGGGGGCAUCCCUAAUAAUUUUCCAGGACAAUUUACGUUUCUCUAAUUUUCCACAAGUUUUCCAGGACUGGAAAAUUGGUCAUGAAUUUUACAGGACGCAUGGGAACCCUGCAUGUUCAAUUCAGCCUUUUAUGUUCUUCUGCGUUAAGACAAUUUCGUUCCUUACCAUAAAAAUUAGUGACUGAAAAACAGAAAUGCUAAAUAUAACUCAAAAAUAUUAUGGCUCUUUUCAGUCCCCUUAUCAAACAUUUGUGGAGAGGACUGCAAGGGUUAGACCCAGGUGAACUGGUUAAUUACAGACAAAUCUCAAAUCUGUAAUUUAUGUCUAAAAUAUUAGAAACAGUUUUGUAGAAUAGCAGUUCUGAAUAGCAAAUUUUGUUCAUUUAUAUUUAAUUUUAACCCCAUCAUAAUUGCAUCUAUUCUAGUGCUAUUAGAUCUUUCAUAGAGCACAACUUUUCUUAAAGAGCUUGAGAAUCAUGUUGUCAUUUGUGGACAAGAAUCAGCACAGUUUAGUUCCUGUCUAUCUGACCACUAACACUCAGUAUUCACUCCUCUGUUUUUCUGUUUGUAUAAGCUUCCCUUGAAAUACAUAAUUAUAGCUGUUAGGCUGAUGAUAUUCAACUCAAUAUUUUUUCACAACCAAAAAGAAUAAAAGAGUCUCUUAAACAUAUCAAAUAUAUAUAAUCCAAAAUAUAUCCAUAUUUUCUUGUAAUACAUUUUGACAAGACAAAAGAAUAAGGACCAAAAAUCUCCACCUAUCUAGAUCCUGAUGGAGGGAUGUACUAUAAUGUUAUUUUUCAUAAUUAAGAACCUGGCUGUUGCAUUCACAGACAAUAGUUUUUUGGACAAUAAUAGCCUUCUACCACCUAAGACUACUUUUCUUACUGAAAAAAUUAACACUUUAAUUUUCUGUAUUCUAUAGAGCUGGACAUUAUAAUAAGGAUCAAAUUUAGUGAGUUCAGUUUUGAAAAUGA